UUGCCAAAAAUGUACACUUUUUGUCCAUUUCUUUGAGCACACUUUAUAUCAUAUAGAUGACCUCAACAGAUAUAGACCUUAGUUUUGGAGUUAUCUGUCAAAUAACAAGGCAUAACUAAUAAAUGUAAUAAAGCAUUUUAACAAGUAAAAAAUUAUAGAGCACUUGUGAUGACAAAUGUUUGUUAGCCGACCUGGAAGUUCAAAUCACCCUGAUUCCCUCGACAAAAACUUAAUAGGAUUUUUCCAUUAUCAUUUGGAAUAUAGUAGAAAAUAAGCUCCUUGGGCAAUGGAAGUUUAUGAUUCUUACACGUUUUGUUUAUCAUGAUAAUGUUCACAAAUGAACUCAACUUGUAUGCAUUUUGAAACCUAAAUACAAUAACCGUAGCCCUGUAAAGGAACUACACAAGACUAAGUUUCACUAACAUCAUCACUAAGCUUCUGACACUUUCAGUCUUUUAAAAACAUUUUCCCUGAAGGUUUGAGCUCAAAUAGUUUACAAGAGUGCAAUUAAAAUCACAAAGAGGCUAUGAAAGCAGAAUAGUGAGGCCUGAUGACAUUUAAUGCCCCCUGAUAAAAACCCAUUAACUUCAGUUUCCAGGAUUUGGCCUACAAAAAUAUGUUAUCCCUACAGGACUCAAUAGCAUCCUAUUUUUCUACGAAUGAGCCUCCUGUGUUUUUGUUCACCACUCAGAUUACUAACAAGAUUGCUUGAUGGUGCAAGGAGGUUUUUACAGCCUGGGACAAUCUGGGGGGAAUUCAUCAGCGCAGUCGACUUGCAUCUGGUGGCUGCCAUGAUCCAUCCUGGAGGUGGCCACAAUAAUAUCCCCCAAUGACUCCAACGCCAGUUCUAUGUGUUUAACUGCACUCUGCCAUCCAACUCCUCCAUAGAUGAGAUCUUUUAAACAAUGGUGGCCAGUGGUUAUUUCUGCUCAGACAGAGGCUUCCUGGAAGAGGUGACCUCUAGCUGCUGUCCUGGUCCCCACCUGGAGAGUGCCCUUGAGAGUUUGGCAAGCGGUCAAAGCUAAGGAAAUGGAGGCUGAACGAGUGAAGCUCUUGGAGGAAGUGACAUCGAAUAGAAGAUCCAGGAGUUGGACAGCAAUCUUCUGUACAAGUUAACCAGCGUUCAGGGCUCUCUAAGGGAGGAUGAAUCUCUUAUUGAGGUGCUCAGAGUAAGUCAAAAGCUAACAGUUGCUGCAGAGACUGAAAUGAACAAACCACACUCAAGAGGAGUACCAUUCAGUGGCAACCAGGGGGAGAUGAGCUUGGUCAAUGUGAUGUACUGAACUUCACCACGUCAGUUUCUGGACAUCAUUGAUAUGUCCCACAUUACAGCUAAAAGACUAGACAACGUCAUGGAGUAUCUCACUUUUGAAGUGUUUUAAUAUACAGCUCGAGGACUCGAUGAAGAUCACAAGUUCCUUUGUAUGCUGCUUCUAAAUUUAAAAAUAGACCUACAAGACAAAAAUGUUUCCCACAAUGAAUUUCAGACCUUCAUAAAAGGUUUGAACCAUAUGUUUUAGCAGAUGUUGCCUAUUUACAGUUUGCUGUUUAUCUCAAUAUCACAAAUCAUUUUAACAAUAGUUAACUUCAAUAUAAUCAGAAAAUAUUGUCCAUUUAAGAACUUAUUUCAGGCCAAGUAAUUAUUUAUUUUUUUA